GACGUGCCCUCGCUGUAACAGGGUUAAAGAAGCUGUGGUGUAUUUGUGGUGGAUAUAAGAAAUGCUUGAAUCUGAGCAGAGGCCAGAGGAGAGGGCCUGUGCUAUGCUACACUUUGCCGGGUUUAGGAAGGACGAUCAGCACACAGAAAGCUAUGCUCCGCCUCAGCUCUCAUUUCUCUAAAGAGAGCAUACUUGGGGUGCAGCCAACCCGUCUCCUGCUUGGCCGGUCUUCCUUGGGCUUUCAGGCUGCGUGUCAGAGCAGCUUCAGCCUGGAGGCACAGCCCACCCACCACAGGACAAGGGAACAACUCUUACUCUCAGUUUUAAUCCAGUAAACAGACAUGUGCCCCCUAACAGCAGAAUGAGUUCCAAGAAGUGCAGCAUCUGUUGGCUCUGUGACUGUGUGAGCCUCACAGUCUGCUUGUGCACACCUAGAUGAUGUAGCCUAGAAAACGCAGACUGGAUGGUGAAAACUGUUGUGUAUAUAGUCUCUCUUCUUCCAUUUACAAUGUAUGACUGUGGUCGCUUCUCUGCAGCCCAGAAAACUCACUGGUUGCCUAAUUUUUGCAGUGAAGUAAAAAAAAAAUGAGAAAAUAAAUUAAAAGCAAGAAUUUACUUGUGCUCUUGAUGAA
rnacentral:lncRNA from 1 species